CGGACGGGUGAGUAACGCGUGAGAAUCUGCCCUCAGGAGGGGGACAACAGCUGGAAACGGCUGCUAAUACCCCAUAUGCCGAAAGGUGAAACGAAUUUCGCCUGGGGAUGAGCUCGCGUCUGAUUAGCUUGUUGGUGGGGUAAUGGCUUACCAAGGCUUCGAUCAGUAGCUGGUCUGAGAGGACGAUCAGCCACACUGGGACUGAGACACGGCCCAGACUCCUACGGGAGGCAGCAGUGGGGAAUUUUCCGCAAUGGGCGCAAGCCUGACGGAGCAACGCCGCGUGAGGGAUGGAGGCCUUUGGGCUGUAAACCUCUUUUCUCAAGGAAGAAGAUCUGACGGUACUUGAGGAAUAAGCCACGGCUAAUUCCGUGCCAGCAGCCGCGGUAAUACGGGAGUGGCAAGCGUUAUCCGGAAUUAUUGGGCGUAAAGCGUCCGCAGGCGGCCGUUUAAGUCUGUUGUUAAAUCGUGGAGCUCAACUCCAUCACGGCAAUGGAAACUGUUCGGCUUGAGUAUGGUAGAGGCAGAGGGAAUUUCCGGUGUAGCGGUGAAAUGCGUAGAUAUCGGGAAGAACACCAGUGGCAAAAGCGCUCUGCUGGGCCAUUACUGACGCUCAUGGACGAAAGCCAGGGGAGCGAAAGGGAUUAGAUACCCCAGUAGUC
rnacentral:rRNA from 1 species